UAGUCCACGCCGUAAACGAUGGAUACUCUCUUUUCGGUUGUAAGACUGAGAGGACAAGCGAAAGCGCUAAGUAUCCCACCUGGGGAGUACGUUCGCAAGGAUGAAACUCAAAGGAAUUGACGGGGGCCCGCACAAGCGGUGGAGCAUGUGGUUUAAUUCGAUGAUACGCGAGGAACCUUACCAGAGCUUAAAUGCAGGAUGCAUGUGUUGGAAGCAACACUUUCUUCGGACCUCCUGCAAGGUGUUGCAUGGUUGUCGUCAGCUCGUGCCGUGAGGUGUCAGGUUAAGUCCUAUAACGAGCGCAACCCCUGCCGUUAGUUGCCAGCAUGUAAAGAUGGGGACUCUAGCGGGACUGCCGGUGCAAACCGCGAGGAAGGAGGGGAUGAUGUCAAAUCAUCACGGCCCUUAUGCUCUGGGCUACACACGUGCUACAAUGGUCGGUACAGCGAGAAGCCACCCUGCAAAGGGGCGCAGAUCUAUAAAGCCGAUCACAGUUC
rnacentral:rRNA from 1 species